rnacentral:rRNA from 1 species
AUGACCCCAUUUCUGGAGAGGUUCUUGUCUAGACAUCCUGGGCUGCAUUUUGGUGAUAUACAUGUCUUGACAGCCACAUAUAGUGAGGCUAUACAGGAUUUUGUGGGAGACUCCAAAUAUGCUAUUCUUUUUCCUGUUUCUGGACCACGAUCUCUAGCUGAUGAGAUGGCAGGUGGUGAUUUUGAUGGUGACAUGUACUGGGUCUCGAGAAACCCACAGUUAUUGAAGUACUUCAAACCAUCGGAACCAUGGGAUCCAAGAAACCCUCCAAGGAAGGCUAAACAAGAGAAGCCUCAGGAUUAUGAUGAAUCCAAGCUAGAACACAUUUUAUUGCGUGAAUUUUUUAGAACUAGGUUUACACCAAGUUAUGUGCUGGGUGCAGCUGCAGAUUGUUGGCUGGUAUAUAUGGAUCGGCUACUGACAUGUGAAGUUCAAGAAGACAAAAAAGAAUGGGAGCCAAUAAAGGCUAAGAUGCUUGAAUUGGUUGACAUUUACUAUGAGGCUCUGGAUGCCCCGAAAAGUGGGAACACGAUCACUAUGCCUCGUCAUCUGAAGGUUGAAGUAUAUCCGCACUUUAUGGAAGGGAAAAGGGUUUACACCUCCCUACAAUUCCACAUCAGUGUUGGGCAAAAUCUAUGA